UUAUUUAGCCAAAGAACAGGUACAGCAUGGUCAUCAGCAAUACAAGAUUCUCCACACUGCCAAUCUCAACCCUGAGCUGGGGGCACCAUCGCUGGGCAAAAAA
rnacentral:sRNA from 1 species